CACGCAGGCGGUUUUUUAAGUCAGAUGUGAAAGGUACCAGCUCAACCGGUGACAUGCAUUUGAAACUGAAAGACUUGAGUAUUGGAGAGGCAAGUGGAAUUCCUAGUGUAGCGGUGAAAUGCGUAGAUAUUAGGAGGAACACCGGUGGCGAAGGCGGCUUGCUGGACAAAUACUGACGCUGAGGUGCGAAAGCGUGGGGAGCAAACA
rnacentral:rRNA from 1 species